UAGGGAAUCUUCGGCAAUGGGGGGAACCCUGACCGAGCAACGCCGCGUGAGUGAAUAAGGUUUUCGGAUCGUAAAGCUCUGUUGUUAAGGAAGAACGAGUGUGAGAAUGGAAAGUUCAUACUGUGACGGUACUUAACCAGAAAGGGACGGCUAACUACGUUCCAGCAGCCGCGGUAAUACGUAGGUACCGAGCGUUGUCCGUAUUUAUUGGGCGUAAAGCGAGCGCAGGCGGUCAAUUAAGUCUGAUGUGAAAGCCCCCGGCUCAACCGGGGAGGGUCAUUGGAAACUGGUUGACUUGAGUGCAGAAGAGGGGAGUGGAAUUCCAUGUGUAGCGGUGAAAUGCGUAGAUAUAUGGAGGAACACCAGUGGCGAAGGCGACUCGCUGGUCUAUAACUGACGCUGAGGCUCGAAAGCGUGGGUAGCAAACAGG
rnacentral:rRNA from 1 species